UCCGCGAGGCUCCCAGGCCCGCCGGCGUCUGUGGGGAACUGGGGCGCUGGUCGGUGCGCGGGCUGGGACGCUAAGUCAUGAGGGAUUAAACUGGGAAACCUGGCGUGGGUCCAGGCGCCUUCCAGGAGGCAUCCGGCGCGGCCCGGACGUGUUUCUACCCGGAACCACCUCCUCCAGGCCGGGGUGCCGUUAACGGGGCUAUACAAAGAGUCUGACACUGUUAUUGCCCACUCUGAACUCGUCAACUGAGAAGGAAUGAGAUGGUUUAUGCUGUGAAUAAAAUACAGUUGUGCUCUGAUGUAAAUCCCCUCAUCCUGGAGCAGCUGAGCAAAGUCUAAGGCAGGAAGAACCUUCAAGCAGGUCAUGGCUUGCAGGCUCAACUCUGCCUAGCAGUGGCAAGGGCCAGGACCAGUGACUGAAGCAACAAACUGCCAGAUGACUGCAGCUCAAGCCAAUGCACAAAGCCACUGCACCAAGAGAGCAAAUUCUUACAUUUCCAAGUGUGUUAAUUUCUCCCCAUCAAGGAAAACAGCUAAGGCAAUGUGUUGAUAUUUUCUUUGACCUAGUCAUCAGGAGUCACAUAGACAUACAGCACUUAAGAAGUGGCUGUGACUAAAGGCACAUCUCAUUCAUUUACAACCCUUGUAAUCCCAACCUUUGUCUGAUGCACAAACCCUUCCCUAGUUCUCCCCACCACCACCACUGCACCUCCAAGUGGGGACAACGAAUUGUUUCAUUUGCAUGUGGUUUUUCUCAUCAAAAAUAUCAUUAACAUGAGACAGCCCCAAACCAAGGAAACCAGAAGUGGGGUUUGUGUUUGGUCUUACUGAGAGCUUUCCCUACUUGACCAGACCCCAGCAUUGUUCUAGAUUUGUCUCUUGUGGGCUACAGGAAUACAAACAUUUUGUAGUUUCCUCUUCUUUGUUUUCUUAAUGGCUUGAUGAGCCACACAUGUUUCUCUAAAUGCACUGAUUUAAAUUCACACAAUUUCUGCCAACUAAAUUUAAUGCAUUUUCCUCCUCUUCUAAUCAAUAAGGGCCAUCAGAAUGUUUUGGGUGAAGAUGAGUGGAAGCCCGUUCAUCUUCACUCCAGUUUCUCUCAAACUACACUCAGGCUCUCUUUUCUACAGAACCCAGGCUAAAAGACUUGGCACCAGGAGUGUCCUGCAGACACUCAGGAUGGAAUGCUAGAGUUGGGUUACUUGCCGACCGUAUGGCAAUAAAGACCCGUGGCACGGCAGCCUCUAGGAGCUGAGGGCACCCUCCAGCUGACAUCCAGAAAGAAAUUGAAGCCCUAGGCUGUGAAACCACAAGGACGUGAAUUCUGCCAACACAUAAUGCAAACAUAAUCUAUGGUGAAAGAAAUUGGACCAGUGGAUGCUCUGGGGAUUGAGGGCAAGCAUUGACUUGGAAAGGGAAUGGGAUAACUUCCUGCAGUGAUGGACAUGUUCUGUGUCUUGAGAUGUAGGUCACAGAGGUAUAUGUGUUCGUCAAAACUUUGGAACUUAAGAUCUGUGUUUGCUAUUAUUUGUAAAUUAUACCUCAAUUUUCAAAAAAAAAUUUUAGAAAGCAAAGAACAAGGGAACUAUCUGUUUGCUAAAGGAUGGUAGCAUGUCUUGGCCAAAUUACCCCCAAGACACUUGCAAAAAUAAAGAGACUAACUGAUGUCCUGUGGAGUCUGAAAGAACAUAAGGCUCUGGGAAAAAAAAGACACCUCUGAUUGGUUGUGCCCUCUCAGCUGAUCUUUUUGCUUUGAGCUUCAUUGACUCAAUCCACCCAAAGAAAAUCACCCCUUCAAUGAAAGCCAUGAAUUCCAUAUCCCAUAUUUAAUCAACACAUAGUCAGAAAAUAAGCUAUACACAACCAAAGCUGCUCAAACAAGUUUCAAUGAUAACUUGAUCAUCCUUACCAUGUAGCUACUUCAAACAUGAUUUGCUUUUCACCAAUUAUAGAUAUUACUUAAUUCAAAAUAAUAUUUGUUGUGGUACUCUAGUGUAAGCAAAGUACAGAGAAUAAAUAAUCAAAAGACCUAUGAGCUCAAAACUGUCAGGGACAUCAAAGACGAGAAAAGUCUGAGACACUAUCAGAGUUUCAGGAGCUUAAGGAGAAAAGACGACUAAAUGUAAUGGGGUAUCCUCGAUGGAAUCUUGGAACAGGAAAGGAUAUUAGAUAAAAACUAAGGGAAUCUGAAUAAAGUAUGGACUUUAGCUAAUAAUAAUGUUUCAGUGUUGGUUCCUUACUUGUAACAAAUGUACCAUACUAACUUAAGAUGUGAAUAAUAGGAGAAACUACGUGCAGGGCCAGAGGUGGGAAGGUAUGGGAACUGUACCAUUUUAUCUACUUCUCUGUUAAUGAAAAACUGCUCACAGCUAGGUGGGAGGAAUAAGUUCUAGUGUUCUAUACCACCGUAGGAUGACUAUAAUUAACAGUACCAUAUUAUACAGUUUCAAAUAGCUAGAAGGAGGGUAUUGGAAAUUGCCCACACAAAAAAUGAUAAAUAUUUGAGAUGACAGAUAUGCUAUUAAUAAUUAUCCUGAUCUGAUCACAUUAUAUAUAGAAACACUGCUGUGUAUCCAUAUGUGUGUACAAUUAUUACAUGUCAAUUAUAAAAAAGAAAUGCAAAGUUCUUGUUCCAUCCACCACUCACAGGAAGAUAAUCAUUACUCAUGUUAAGUGCUUUAGUUUGGACUUUGCUAUGGCUUGAAUAUGUUUUGUCCACACCAAAAAGCAAACCAUCAAACAAAAAAAAAUUGCUCUAAAAUUAAAAAUUUGUUUUUUAAAAAACAAAACCUAUGAGAGCAAAUUUUUAUAUAAUUUAUUAGGAAGAUCUUGGAGACAAGCACUGCAAGGGCGUGCUCUGGGAGAUUUAUCACAUACAAAAGACUAAGAGAGGACAGGAUUAAAAUAUGAGGUCAGAAGAAAAACUCAGCACCCCAGGAACAGAAUCAGUGCUUUUUCCUCCAAAUAGUUAUUUUGAAUGUAAUCAGCAUCAAUCAGCCUCUCUUCUGCCAGCUCCUAUUAUUUCUAUUUUAUCCCCUGCCAAUCUGGAUGUGGGACAUGUGCAAGUUCCUCCAAAGAAACUACUGGUGUAAAAGUAUAAAUGGGAAACGUAGUUGUUUUUGAUGAUUUUGUAGGAAAAAUGGAGAAGACAUUUAUGUUGAACAUGGAAAACAUGUUUUAAAUCUCUUUAUAUUGGAGAUUAGUAAGGAUAUUAUUUGGACGAUAGGGGAAAUUUGAAUAUGGACUGAAUAUUAGAUAUUGUAUUGUAUCAAGUUUAAGUUUCUGAGUGGAAUAAUUAUGUUAUGGUCAUGUAAGAGAACAGCCUUGUUCUUAGGAGACACAUGCUGAAGUAUUUGGUGGUGAAGUGUCAUGAUGCUUACAACCAAUUCUCAAAUAGUUCAGAAAAUUAUACACCUGUGCACAUUUGUCUCUUUAUCUAUUUUUCUGUAUAUCUAUACACAAAAUGUGUAUACACAAAUAUUUAUUAAAAUAUAUACCCUCUUUUUCUGUGUAUUAUAUGUAAGGAGUAUAUGAAUAAUUACUAUUCUUGCAACUUUUCUAAAUGAUUGAUGUUUGUCAAAAUAAAACAUU